AAGUUCCUGUAUUUUUAUGUGGAGUUGCUCACUGCCCAACGUAGAGGACUAGGAAUCAGGAGUCGGUGGCCGUAUGCUGGAGGCUGGAGCCGCGGGAGCGCGGCUCGCCUCGCUGCGGUUGUUGGCAGUGACGGAGAGAGAGCAGCGCGGCUGGAGCAGGACAUUGUAUUAGUUUCCUGCAAUAAAAUAUUUUUACAAUGUCAGUUUGUCGAAACUGCUGGACUGUAAACUAUUUCUAAUCGAAACCUGAAAUUGUGUCACAACAUGGCUGUAUUACGAUUCCAUGUCAGAGGAAGGAUAUAUACGUGCAUCUGGUAGUGGCUUCCAGUUGUUGCUGUCAGAUGUUUGUUUGGGAAUGCAUUCAGAAGAGCUUAUCAAGGACUUGAGUACAAAACAAGCAUUUCCACAAAAAAGCAGUGACACAAAUCACUAUGUAAUAUAGUUAGCCUUUGAACAACACGGAUUUGAACUGCAGGGGUCUACUUAUGAGCAGAUUUUCUCCCACCUCUACCACCUGAGACAGCGAAGACCAAUCUUCCUCUUCCUCCUUCUCCUUAGCCUGCUCAACUUGAAGACUAUGAUGAAGAGUUAUAUAAUGAUCUACUUGCAUUUAAUGAACAUGCAGAGAACAGCGACUUCUCAUCUUGAAAAACUCCCCCACUCUACUGAGGCUUGCAUUUUGCAGCUGUCUUUCAUGUAAAAAUUAUACAUAAAAAAAGGAUCUUCAGAACAACCAAAGAAUUUUAAAUGACUACAUACUGACUGAGGGAAG
rnacentral:lncRNA from 1 species